CGAAGAACCUUACCUACUCUUGACAUCCAGAGAACUUAGCAGAGAUGCUUUGGUGCCUUCGGGAACUAUGAGACAGGUGCUGCAUGGCUGUCGUCAGCUCGUGUUGUGAAAUGUUGGGUUAAGUCCAGCAACGAGCGCAACCCUUAUCCUUUGUUGCCAGCGGUUAGGCCGGGAACUCAAAGGAGACUGCCAGUGAUAAACUGGAGGAAGGUGGGGAUGACGUCAAGUCAUCAUGGCCCUUACGAGUAGGGCUACACACGUGCUACAAUGGCGCAUACAAAGAGAAGCGACCUCGCGAGAGCAAGCGGACCUCAUAAAGUGCGUCGUAGUCCGGAUUGGAGUCUGCAACUCGACUCCAUGAAGUCGGAAUCGCUAGUAAUCGUGGAUCAGAAUGCCACGGUGAAUACGUUCCCGGGCCUUGUACACACCGCCCGUCACACCAUGGGAGUGGGUUGCAAAAGAAGUAGGUAGCUUAACCUUCGGGAGGGCG
rnacentral:rRNA from 1 species